rnacentral:piRNA from 1 species
UGAAGUAUAAUUAAGAGAGGCCAUAGA